UCCAAGAAAAAAAAAUAUUCAGCAAAUCUAGACAUUAGACUCAUGUUUGAAACAUGAGACAUCGCAGUGCAACAUCAAACAAGGAGACACGGGCAGACUAUACAGCGAACUAACUAAAUCGCGGAGGAAUUUCAGACGAACAACUCAUGAACUUGAGGAAGCUGUCCGUUGGGCUGGCGCGAAGAAGCAUAUUCAACGUGGAUGAGGCACACGCUUGUGAGUCUGAGACUGGAUGAAGGGCAUUGUUUGUCUGUGAGUCUGAGACUGGAUGAGGGGUAAGUUUUGCAUUUAUGUACUAAAUAAAGAAUAUAAACCAUAUCUUGUUAAGAUAAGCCAACAUUUCAACGACUUCUGAUUUUUUCCCCUACAUUUCUA